rnacentral:rRNA from 1 species
CGCGUAGGCGGUUUGCUAAGUCAGAUGUGAAAUCCCCGGGCUUAACCUGGGAACUGCAUUUGAGACUGGUAGGCUAGAAUGUGGUAGAGGUGAGUGGAAUUCCAGGUGUAGCGGUGAAAUGCGUAGAGAUCUGGAGGAACAUCAGUGGCGAAGGCGACUCACUGGGCCAUUAUUGACGCUGAGGUGCGAAAGCGGUGGGUAGCAAACA